AGGUGGGUCGUGUUAGGUUCUGUACCAAGUUGAAGGGUUAGAUAACAACGACAAUAACAACAGUAAAUUCUUACCUUAACCUCAGACACAAAUUUCUUACUCAACUUGUA